GAGGAAGUAAAAGUCGUAACAAGGUCUCCGUUGGUGAACCAGCGGAGGGAUCAUUACCGAGUUUACAACUCCCAAACCCCUGUGAACAUACCUUAAUGUUGCCUCGGCGGAUCAGCCCGCGCCCCGUAAAACGGGACGGCCCGCCAGAGGACCCAAACUCUAAUGUUUCUUAUUGUAACUUCUGAGUAAAACAAACAAAUAAAUCAAAACUUUCAACAACGGAUCUCUUGGUUCUGGCAUCGAUGAAGAACGCAGCAAAAUGCGAUAAGUAAUGUGAAUUGCAGAAUUCAGUGAAUCAUCGAAUCUUUGAACGCACAUUGCGCCCGCUGGUAUUCCGGCGGGCAUGCCUGUUCGAGCGUCAUUUCAACCCUCAAGCCCCCGGGUUUGGUGUUGGGGAUCGGCUCUGCCCUUCUGGGCGGUGCCGCCCCCGAAAUACAUUGGCGGUCUCGCUGCAGCCUCCAUUGCGUAGUAGCUAACACCUCGCAACUGGAACGCGGCGCGGCCAUGCCGUAAAACCCCAACUUCUGAAUGUUGACCUCGGAUCAGGUAGAAUUCCCGAUAUUC
rnacentral:rRNA from 1 species